AACAACUGAUAGACAGAAACACGGCGAGUGGACUGAUCUUCUUCAUUCUUCUGCGAAACUUCUCGAACCAUCUGCCCAGUUCCCUGCCUUGCCUUACAGAGAAACUUAGAUCUAUUAGAAACGUUAUCAAAGAAGCUUAAAUGUACCAACUGAAGUUCCUGCAGAAUCUGCCACCAGGCUGUUAGCGCGCCGAACAACUUGCACGCGAUCUCAAGUCUUUUGAGUUAAAGACAAAAUUUGAGGAUGUCUUCCCCGCUGAGGCAACAAGUGUCGAAGAGUAUUUGCAGCAGGUUCAUGAAAUGACCAUGCUCACAGCUAUUCAGGAGGCUCAGAAGGAUAACGUUAGAAGCUUUAAUGAUUACAUGGUGCAAGUUUUGGAGGUUUGUAUGCUCCAAUGUUUACUGUACCUUGGUUGCAUCGACACAUUAUCAAGCUAUUUCAUUUGGGUGGUUUUAAUUGUGCAUGGGCUAUAAUUUUUUGUCCUUUGCUUUCUUCUUAUUUUCUUGAAGUUUUCCAUAUGCUCAUACAGUUUUAGUGUCUGACUGUUAAAGAGAAUGGAGCCUACAGUUGAAUCUAAAUCAUAAAUUCCUUUGGUCAC